AGAGUUUGAUCAUGGCUCAGAUUGAACGCUGGCGGAAUGCUUUACACAUGCAAGUCGAACGGCAGCAUAGGUGCUUGCACCUGAUGGCGAGUGGCGAACGGGUGAGUAAUACAUCGGAACGUGCCCAGUCGUGGGGGAUAACGUAGCGAAAGUUACGCUAAUACCGCAUACGAUCUACGGAUGAAAGCGGGGGACCGUAAGGCCUCGCGCGAUUGGAGCGGCCGAUGUUAGAUUAGGUAGUUGGUGGGGUAAAGGCUCACCAAGCCGACGAUCUAUAGCUGGUCUGAGAGGAUGAUCAGCCACACUGGGACUGAGACACGGCCCAGACUCCUACGGGAGGCAGCAGUGGGGAAUUUUGGACAAUGGGCGCAAGCCUGAUCCAGCCAUUCCGCGUGCAGGAUGAAGGCCCUCGGGUUGUAAACUGCUUUUGUACGGAACGAAAAGGCUCUUCCUAAUACGAGGGGCUCAUGACGGUACCGUAAGAAUAAGCACCGGCUAACUACGUGCCAGCAGCCGCGGUAAU
rnacentral:rRNA from 1 species